rnacentral:tRNA from 4 species
GCCAGGGUGGCGGAACGGUAGACGCACUGGGUUUAGGGCCCAGCGCCCUUAAAAAGCGUGCAGGUUCAAAUCCUGUCCCUGGCA